GUUGUGCCCGUGUGCAGGCAUCUUUCCAGCCUACACGUGCCUCUCGAUUUGCAGGCUGGUUAGAUGGUUGUCAC
ensembl:miRNA